UACAGAGGGGGCAAGCGUUGUUCGGAAUUACUGGGCGUAAAGGGCGCGUAGGCGGCCUUCUAAGUCGAACGUGAAAUCCCCGGGCUCAACCCGGGAACUGCGUCCGAUACUGGAAGGCUUGAAUCCGGGAGAGGGAUGCGGAAUUCCAGGUGUAGCGGUGAAAUGCGUAGAUAUCUGGAGGAACACCGGUGGCGAAGGCGGCAUCCUGGACCGGCAUUGACGCGUGAGGCGCGAAAGCCAGGGGAGCAAACGGGG
rnacentral:rRNA from 1 species